GGCGGAGCCCGGCUCUCGUAAGAGUCUGGGCGGAGUCUACUCGCGGUUGAAGUUGUUGGCGGAGUCCGGCUCCCGUAGGAGUCCGGACGAAGUCUGUCUACAGCCGUUGGAGUCGAGGACGAAGCUCGGCUCCCGUAGGAGUCCGGGCGGAGUCUUCCUGCAAUUAAAGUUAAAGGCGAAGUCCGGCUCCCGUAGGAGUCCGGACAAGGCUUACCGGCAGCUGAUGUUGAGGGCGGAGCCCGGCUUCCGUAAGAGUCCGGGCGGAGUCUACUCGUGGUUGAAGUUGUUGGCGGAGUCCGGCUCCCGUAGGAGUCCGGACGAAGUCUGUCUGCAGCCGUUGGCGUUGGCGACGAAGCCCGGCUUCCGUAGGAGUCCGGGCGGACCUCCUGGAGCUGAUCCUGCUGAGGACUUUAGCUGUAGAUAUUUUAUACCCAACAGAUCAUGAUUCUCCAUGACAGUUAUCAGUAAUCAAGAUAAUGUACUCUUCCAUCUCUAUAAAAAAGAAAGAUAGGAUUCUUUAAUAAGCUUUUAUAGACCAAAAAGUUACUAUCUUGCUAUAUUCUCCAUUAUUGUUCUCAAAGUUUCGACUAACUUAACUAUUAGAAUAUUAAAAAUUUUUGAUAACUAAAUUUUUUUUACAGAUCCUAUAAGCAUUCAGUUGUCCUCAAAUCAUCAUCGAUUUAGCUACUCCUCCUCGAUCCAUAGCCUUACGGCAAGAGAAAGAUAUUAAGCAGUAAUCUAGAAGAAAAGCAUUUGGAUAAAAGGUGAUUUUGUUGUUAUAAUCCGAUGGAUCUCCAGCGCUUCUAUGCCCAAACAUUAAAAUAGUUAUUUGUUUGGGAUAUAAUACAAUGUCAAAGAGCUUUUUGGGUGUUUAGAGCAAUGCAUAUCCUAUAGGGAGGAAAUCAAAUGGUGGAUUUGAUGGUCACCAAUAUUUUACAAGGAGUGCUACGAAUAAUCUACAUCUUGGUUUAGCCAAUAUCUACAGU
rnacentral:lncRNA from 1 species